UUUCUCACUUCAUUCUUCGAUCUUUCUCUCUUCCCACUGUUCAUACUGCCAAAAAGGAAAAAAUUGAAAAGCUAAGAAGCAGCCCACUUUUAUCGUUUAAGCAAAGCCAAAUGGCAGAUGCAGCUGGUACAUUUCUGCUAGAAAAACUAUACCAGCUACUUCGUUACAACGCCGAUCUGAUUUGUAACGUGAAGGGUGAUGUAGAAUCUCUGUACAGUGAGUUGGAGUAUUUGACAGCUUUCCUCAAGGACUCAACAGAAACGCGCAAUAGCAAUGAACGUAUGAAAACAAUGGUGAGACAAACCAGAGAGGUGGUUUAUGAAGCAGAAGACGCUGUGGAACUAUUUGUUUCCUUUACAUCUGAUCACAGGGCCCGGAGUUACUUAUCGAGAGCUAUAAAUAUACUCGAUUACGGGGCAAAUCUUCGAAAAGUGGCCCUAGAUGUUAAAUCCAUCAUGAAAGAUGUGAGGGAUAUGUAUGAAAAGGAGAGGGCUGUCUUUCCUGCACUGCAGCAUGGGGAGGGAUCUGAAAGAAGUACAAUAGAGAGAAAGGCUCCCGUUGUAGAGGAAGAAAAUGUGGUGGGCUUUCAAGAUGAGGCAGAAGAAAUAAUCAAACUUCUCACUACAGGAUCGGAGGACCUAGAAGUUAUCUCAAUCAUUGGUAUGGCUGGACUCGGUAAAACAACUCUGGCUAAAAAAGUUUAUUGCGAUUCCACAAUUGAAUAUGAAUUCUAUAGUCGGGCUUGGGUUUAUGUUUCUCAAGAAUGUAAUAUAAAGGAAGUGUUCCUCAAUAUUUUAUGCAAGCUUAGCGAUAGUGAUGUCAACGAUAAUAUGUAUAAGAUGAGUGUCGAAAAUUUGGCUAAUAAACUUCGAGGAAUUCUGGAGAAAGAAAAAUAUUUGAUAGUCAUGGAUGAUGUUUGGAAUGAUGACGUGUGGCGUGAUCUCAAAAUGGCUUUUCCCAAUAACAAGAAUCGGAGUAGAAUUUUAUUGACCAGUCGUAUAUUGAGUGUGGGUCAGCAUGCCAACCCGAACAGGGAUCCUCAUUGCUUGCGUUUUUUAACUGAGGAAGAAAGUUGGACUUUACUCCAAAAAAAAGCACUAGGCUCAAAGCAGUGCCCCGAGGAGCUGAUAGAACAUGGACAAAUUAUAGCCAAACAAUGUUUGGGAUUACCGCUCGCAAUAGUGGUAAUUGGAGGAAUUUUACUAGAAAGAGGUACCGAAAUUCAUUGGUGGGAAAAGGUUAAAGGAAGGGUGAAUGCAUAUUUAGCCUUAGACCGGGAGAGACGCAUGGACAAAUUUAUAGCACUAAGUUUCAACAACUUACCUCAUCACUUGAGAGCAUGUUUUCUCUACUUUGGAAUGUUCCCAGAAGACUUCCAGAUCCCAAUGUCGAAACUGGUUCGCUUGUGGAUUGCUGAAGGACUCAUAGAGAAAGAAGAACACAAUUUGAACUUGGAAGAUAUUGCAGAGGAGUACUUGGAGGAUCUUGUCAACAGGAAUUUAGUAAUCGUGGGAAAACGAAGAUCAGAUGGUAAAGUUAAAAUAUGCCAUGUGCAUGAUAUGAUUCAUGACUUUUGCAAGAAGGAAGCUGCAAAACAAAAUUUUUUCCAUGAGACUAAACAUUUCAAUCAAUGUUCCAAUUCAUCUGCCCCUAUCCUUCCCUUCAAAAAGUACCGCCGCCUUGGCAUUCAUUCCCACGUUUUGGACAUUCUCCCUUCUGAACAAUUUGGUUUUUAUGUUCGGUCUUUAUUGUGUUUCUCCCCUGAAGACAUUACAUUGCCACUUAAUCUCAUUUCUUCCAUCCUUAAACACUUUAUGUUGCUCAGGGUGUUAGACGGCAAACCCAUAACUUUCAAGAAAUUUCCUACCGACCUAACUCUUCUGAUUCAUUUGAGGUACCUUGUUCUCUCCAUUACCAUUGCCAUCCUUCCAGAAACUAUUUCCAAACUCAAGAACUUGCAAACUCUCAUAGUUGUGACAUCAACACACACCCUUGAAAUCAAAGCAGACAUAUGGAAGAUGAUUCAACUGAGGCAUCUUGAAGUAAAUGCUUCCACAUCUUUGCUCAAAACAGGCAAAAGUAAAGGAGACUUAUCGAAACUUCUGGCAGGCCCCUUUACCAGUAAAAAAAGAAAUAGUGAAGAAGACUCUUUGAAAAGUGGAAACCUGGUAAUACUUUCUACAAUAUCACCUGAGAGUUGUUCUGAAGACGUCUUUGCUGCAGCUCCAAACCUUAAGAAAUUGGGUAUUCGUGGCCAAUUAUCUAAGCUUCUGGAGGGCAAGGGUGGAACUAUUUUGUUCGAUAGCCUUGGCAAAAAAUUGGUUAAUCUUGAAAAUUUGAAGCUAUUGAAUGAUGUAUAUCCUCGGCCAUCUUGCGAAAGCAAACUAGUUAGCCUACCACAAGCGUACAAAUUUCCUCCGAAACUGAAGAAGCUAACACUAUCAGACACUCUGCUAGAUUGGGAGCACAUGUCUACACUAGGAAAAUUGGAAAACCUUGAGAUUCUCAAGUUGAAAGAAAAUGCGUUUGCGGGAAAAUUGUGGCAGCCAGAGGAGGGAGGUUUUCGGGCUCUCAGAGUCUUGCAUAUUGGAAAGACUGAUUUAGUUUCUUGGAGUGCUUCAGCAGUACAUUUCCCAAGACUUAGGCGUCUUUAUCUUAAACACUGCACUGAACUCUACGAAGUGCCAUCAGGCCUUGGUGACAUUUCAAGCCUUCAGAUAAUGGACUUGCACUGUACCAACAAAUCAGCAGCUGCUUCUGCCAGAAAAAUUGAACUGCUUAAAAAAAACUUUGAAGACCAGCAAAGCACAAAAGGCAGUGGAUUUAAGCUUAACAUUUACCCUCCAGAACCUCCAGCCGAAGAUCAGUGAUAUCACGUGGGAAUAUUUCUGUAAAAGCUUACAAAACCAUUUUUACAUGGUAUCAGAGCACAGAUCUUGGUGACUCCAUAAACCAAAAACACCUCCCGCAACCACAUCAAAUUAAAUGGCUGACAACACAGAAAUCAUAAAUGAGAAUUCCACCACCCAACAUGGUUUAGAAAAUUCAAGCCUCACCAUGAAUGAGAAUCCACUCACUCUACACAGUUCGGAUAAUCUGAGCCUCAUCUUGGUUUCCAAAGUCCUUGAACCACACAACUACGGACAAUGGAGUCGAGCCAUGCGCAUUGGUCUUAGUGCAAAGAAUAAGAUCGGGCUCAUCGACGGAUCCAUCGAGAUGCCGUCACCCACAAAUAAAACUUUUCAUUCUUGGCAACAUUGCAACGAUAUGGUAUUAUCAUGGAUCCUGAAUUCUGUGAGUCCAGACAUUGCUUCCAACGUAAUCUACAUGGAUUCGGCAUCGACUGUAUGGAAAGAUCCUUAUGAUCGGUUUUCACAAGGGAAUGAAUCAAGAAUUUACCAAAUUCAGCAAGAAAUUGUUGAACACCGACAAAAUUCAGAUUCAAUCUCCGUCUACUUCAACAAAAAAAAAAAAGCUUUAUGGGAUGAACUAGCAUUCUAUCAGGAACCAUUUACCUGUACAUGUGGAGGACAGAAGAAAGUCAAUGAAAGAAUGGAAAAGGAGAUACUUAUGCAAUUUCUUUUGGGAUUAAAUGAAACCUAUGCUGCAGUUAGAGGAAUCAUAUUAAUGAUGAGUCCACUGCCGGAUACUCGAAAGGCCUUUUCCAUAACCUUGCAACAUGAACGACAACUCGACGUCGCCUCACACCAUGAAGGAACCUACGGCAAUUUUCAAGCCAUGGCUGUAAAUUAAUCAGGCAAACCAUUUAAGGGCAGUAGCUCACGUGAAAUCACUUCUCGCACUGGAGGAGCAUCCCGAAAGACAUCCAAAUGCAUGUAUUGCGAUCAAGAGGGACAUAUGGUGGAGUACUAUUACUACUUGAAUGGUUUCCCAGUUGGCCACAAAUUUCAUGGUAAAAACAUCCAGCCGAAGAAUAUGAGGGCUACAACAAAUAAUUCCAGCAUUAGUCAAGAAGAUGCUCAAAAAGUGCAGCCAAUCAAACAAGAAGGCCCAACAUUCACAACUGAGGAAUACAAUCAAAUUAUGGCCAUGUUGAACAAAAUGAAUGCUAAUGCCUUUGCAAAUGCCACAGGAUGUGGACAUGAAGAGUAUGAUUGGCCUGGGCAAGCAAUAUAACGGCCUUUACUACCUUUCAUCACAUCAGAAUCCGCACCUUGCACCUCACGUCAACAAUGUCUCUAGUCUUUGGUAUCAACGACUUGGGCAUCCGUCUACCACACCCCACCAAGUAUUGUCAAAAUCCAUACUCGAAAUAAGUUUUGAUAACAAACAUGUAUGCGAGGUUUGCCCAUUAGCAAAGCAAACUCGUUUACCUUUUCCUUCUAGUUCAAUUUCAUCAUUUGCACCUUUUGACUUACUCCAUUCUGAUAUAUGGGGACCUAAUAAAAUAAAUUCUCUUUCUGGAGCAAAGUAUUUUCUUACUAUUGUAGACAAUUUUUCACGCUUUACAUGGGUUCAUCUUAUGACUUUUAAAUCUGAAGCACAAUCUUUAUUGCGAUCAUUUUACGCCGGCUUACUUGGUGCAAAACAUGCAAAAUUCCUAAGAGUAGACCUUGAAACUUAAUCCAAUGGAUGGUGAUGCUCUUCAUGAUCCAAUGUGAUAUCGUCGACUUGUUGGGAAGUUGAUUUAUCUAACAAUCACGCGACCGGAAAUCAAAUACUCAGUUGUUACUCUCAAUCAGUUCAUGCAGCUUCCAAGAAGACCUCACCUUGAUGCAGUUCUUCCCUAAUUCGUUACUUGAAGAAUGCACCAGGUCAAGGCCUCCUUUUUCCCACACAUAGUUCUUUAAAACUCACGGCUUAUUGUGAUGCCGAUUGGGCUGGCUGUCAAGCUACAAGAAGGUCAAUUACAGGUUAUUGUGUGUUAUUGGGAAGUUCCUUGAUUUCUAGGAAAAGCAAAAAGCAACCCACUGUGUCACAGUCAUCUGCCGAAGCAGAAUAUCGAGCAAUGACAGUCGUUACUUGUGAACUUACUUGGCUGAGAUAUCUUUUAAGUGACUUGCAUGUUAAACACCCUGAACCAGCCAAACUGUUUUGCGAUAACUAAGCGGCAACUCACAUUGCAGCGAAUCGAAUAUUCCACGAGCGUACAAAGCACAUAGAAUUGGAUUGUUAUACUGUUCGAGAAAAGAAUACAA